GAGCCAAGAUUUGUACCCAUAAGGUACUACAUGAAUUGAACUGAAGAGUUUGAUCAUGGCUCAGAU
rnacentral:rRNA from 1 species